rnacentral:tRNA from 1 species
UCCGAUAUGGUGUAGUGGCUAACAUUAUCGCCUCUCAUGAGGUUCAUAUGCGCGAUAGCCCGGGGUUCGAUUCCCCGUGUCGGAA